rnacentral:rRNA from 1 species
AUGGAAGGAUCUCUAACCAUGAAGGAUUCAGCCAUGGACACGGUCAUCCUACUCCCAUGGAAGGAUCUCCAACCAGCAGCUACCUCGGUCUCGGAUCCAUGCGCACGCACCGACCCUGCCAUGACCUAUGAUGAUAUCCCAGUACUCUCUUCCCUUGACAAUGGCAGCGUCACUGCCGCUGAUGCUGGUUUACAGCCCAUGGAUGAGGAGCUGCCUAUUGUUGUUAAUCAAAACUCUGCCGCAAUUAAUGAUUCCCAUGAUGUAGAGAGCAAGGUCGAUUACGUUCCUCUCAGAAUUGUAAGGCCAGAGAUCACGGAGGGUGAGGGGAAAAAGCGUCCCGACAUUCGUUUUAAACCCACGGCUCGAAAAACUACCACUUUCAAAAAAAAGAAAGGAUUCCCGGCAUGUUUCAAGGUUGCCAAGAGUGACAAGGAUGAUACUUCUGUGCCGACGAGGAAGAGAGGCGGGCCAGCGGGUUCCAAACCUGCUAAGAGAAAGAUGGAGCAGAAAAUGGCACCGAAACCAGCAUUGGUUGACGACAUUCAUAACUCGGAUUUGACAGGCGAUACAGAGACAAAGAGGAAGAAAGGUGGGCCAGCGGGUUCCAAACCUGCUAAGAGAAGGAUGGAGCAGAAAAUGGCACAGAAACCGGCAAUUGUUGACGACAUUCAGCACUCCGAUUUGACAAAGGUGAAAUUGCCAGGAGAAUAUCACAGCUUCACCAAGCGUAUGUUAAAAUCUCAUGUAGUUCAAGGCUUUUAUCUGGGUCUCCCGGGUAGCUUUUGCACAGAGCAUCUUCCAAAGGAGAAUAAUACAAUCACAUUAGAAGAUGAGCAUGGGGAGAGCUAUGAUACAAAUUACCUACACGACAGGAAGGCGCUGAGCGGUGGGUGGGGAGAAUUUGCGCGUAAGCAUAGUAUUAGGGUCGGCGACGAUGUGGUCUUUCGACUCGACGGAACCAAAAAAUUCAAGGUGCAUAUACUAAGAAAUGGACCGCCAGGUUUGGACACAUCCAAGAAGAAUGACAUGUGGAGUGAGUCGAAAGUUCCAUCUUACGAGGCAGAAGGUUCAGAACAUGGUGUCAAUUCUAAAGAUCAUCUAGAGGUUACCGCUGGAGGCAACAGCUCAACAUCCAGCGUGGUGGCAACAACCUUAUUUGCGAGGGAAGAAGCGGUAGGCAUCGACGAACACGAUGUGAGAUCUCCAGAUCCAGGUCUCGGCGAUGUGGAGAACUUCCAAGUCAUCCUCCAUGGCUCGAUCACCGACCUCCCGGACGGCCUGCGCAGGAGGUACUACGAGCUCUGCUGCGCCCAGAAGGCGGUCCUCCACAGGAACCUGCUCGAGACAAACCAUAUGCUGGUUGAAGGGGUGAUCAUGGAGACCAGCGACAUCGCUGAGUGCGUCAUGGCCCCCUUGCAUGCUGCUGCUGCUACUUCUUCUCGCGAGGUUCUCCUGGUGUGGAAGAAGACACUGGGGGCAUUGGAGGGUUUGGGAAUGGACGUGGCGUUCUUGCGCAGACGCGUCGACGACCUUCUCGGCAUCCAUGCUGCUCGGGCAUCGACGGUUCGAGUUUACAGCCGCUGCCGGUGGGGACUCUAA